GAGAUUAUAGUUUAGAUUGGAUAAAAUAUUACUUUGUCAAAGUAAAGUUCAUGGGUUCAAAUCCCAUUAAUCUCG
rnacentral:tRNA from 1 species